rnacentral:rRNA from 1 species
GAUGAACGCUGGCGGCGUGCUUAACACAUGCAAGUCGAGCGAGUGAGUUCUUCGGAACGAUCUAGCGGCGGACGGGUGAGUAACACGUGGGCAACCUGCCUCAUAGAGGGGAAUAGCCUCCCGAAAGGGAGAUUAAUACCGCAUAAAAUUAUCGAGUGGCAUCACAUGAUAAUCAAAGGAGUAAUCCGCUAUGAGAUGGGCCCGCGGCGCAUUAGCUAGUUGGUGAGGUAACGGCUCACCAAGGCGACGAUGCGUAGCCGACCCGAGAGGGUGACCGGCCACAUUGGGACUGAGACACGGCCCAGACUCCUCAGGGAGGCAGCAGUGGGGAAUAUUGCAAAAUGGGGGAAACCCUGAUGCAGCAACGCCGCGUGAGUGAUGAAGGUCUUCGGAUUGUAAAGCUCUGUCUUUGGGGACGAUAAUGACGGUACCCAAGGAGGAAGCCACGGCUAACUACGUGCCAGCCGCCGCAGUAA